AUGAACGCUGGCGGCGUGCCUAAUACAUGCCAGUCGAGCGAACGGACGAGAAGCUUGCUUCUCUGAUGUUAGCGGCGGACGGGUGAGUAACACGUGGAUAACCUACCUAUAAGACUGGGAUAACUUCGGGAAACCGUAGCUAAUACCGGAUAAUAUUUUGAACCGCAUGGUUCAAAAGUGAAAGACGGUCUUGCUGUCACUUAUAGAUGGAUCCGCGCUGCAUUAGCUAGUUGGUAAGGUAACGGCUUACCAAGGCAACGAUGCAUAGCCGACCUGAGAGGGUGAUCGGCCACACUGGAACUGAGACACGGUCCAGACUCCUACGGGAGGCAGCAGUAGGGAAUCUUCCGCAAUGGGCGAAAGCCUGACGGAGCAACGCCGCGUGAGUGAUGAAGGUCUUCGGAUCGUAAAACUCUGUUAUUAGGGAAGAACAUAUGUGUAAGUAACUGUGCACAUCUUGAAGGUACCUAAUCAGAAAGCCACGGCUAACUACGUG
rnacentral:rRNA from 1 species